GGAAGGGCCUCCCCAGAUGUGCUCUCGAGGCCAGCUGUCUGCGUGGAGGAGGCACCUCCUGGAAGGGGACUAUCUCAGCAAAAACUCAUCAUCAGGCUGUUAACUUCAACAUUUUCGAGGGCAUGGUUUGCCACGGGGUGCCCCUUGUGACUAUUUCAAGAGGCAAAGUGGUAUAUGAAGCCGGAGUGUUCAGUGUCACGGCAGGAGAUGGGAAGUUUAUUCCUCGAAAACCAUUUGCUGAAUAUAUUUACAAACGAAUAAAGCAGCGAGACCGGACUUGCACACCUACCCCUGUGGAGCGUGCACCCUAUAAGGGAGAAGUCGCCACACUGAAAUCCAGAGUGACAAAAGAAGAUGCCACAGCAGGGACCAGGAAACAGGCCCACCCCUGAAGUAUGUGCCGUCGGUAAGGG
rnacentral:sRNA from 1 species